UACAGAGGGGGCAAGCGUUGUUCGGAAUUACUGGGCGUAAAGGGCGCGUAGGCGGCCCGCUAAGUCGAACGUGAAAUCCCCGAGCUCAACUCGGGAACUGCGUCCGAUACUGGAAGGCUUGAGUCCGGGAGAGGGAUGUGGAAUUCCAGGUGUAGCGGUGAAAUGCGUAGAUAUCUGGAGGAACACCGGUGGCGAAGGCGACAUCCUGGACCGGUAUUGACGCUGGGGCGCGAAAGCCAGGGGAGCAAACGGG
rnacentral:rRNA from 1 species